UAUAACAGUCUAAGAUAAGUAAUUGGAGGCAGCAAUCCAGUCUGUGAACCCAAACUCUGAUUCUAAAGUGCCGUAAAGAGAGCGCCGGACUGCUGGGAGAAGAAAAACGCUCGUCUGCGUACACAAACACACACAGUCCACACUCGCAUGUGGAGCAGCAGCAGCAGCAGCAGGCCCGGGUAAGGACACCCCCUUAUCCGGAUCUGGACAGCCCGCUUCUGCAUCAAGCCUCCAACAACGAGUCACUGUGGACGACACCAAGCUGUGGCUUCAAAGCAAACGAUGCAUUUCAAAGCAUAAUCAGGGAGGUGACCCUUGAAGAGAUGUCAUCCAGCAGGGAGUGAAGUGGGAACAAUGAAUGCCGUAAAAGCCUCAGAGAUGCACAACAACGGUCUGCGGGAGAGACGGCACCCCCUGCUCCUGCAGAGGCCCACACAGGCUCAGAGGAAAGCUGGACAGAAGAUGGAGAGGUCCACCAAUGGAGCGGGGAGUCGGUCAACACAAGGCAAGGCCUUAGAUUCCUGUUUGUGUUUUUUCCACCGGGGGUCCAGGCAGACAUGUCCUUCAGGCCGACAGUAGCUCUCCAGCUGAGUGUGAUGUAGGCCAGCUUCAGCUCUCCUGCUGAUUCUCUUUACACACACUUGGCUCUUCAAACAUGCGGUUGGAGGCUGGAAUUGUAGCUAAGUGUUGAACCCUGCACUGCAUCAGCUGCUCAGAAUCGACAAAUCUGAAUUCUGUAGAAGAAAGUUGUUUAAAUGAUGCGAAGAAUCGGAAAAGGUGAUUUCAGAGAUUCAGAAUCCUGCGGCACAUUUCAUCUACAUAGAGACUUUCACCCGCUGGAACUGAAGAGUCUCAAAGACAGGUGGCACUUCAAAGCGCUCACACACACACUACUUUUUACAGAAGACCACACUUGCUGCAGGGUUGGCAUGUGUUACAAAUAUAGAAACUUCCUAAAUGUGUUAAAUUUCCACUCUUGAUGCAUGCCCAACCAGUAUUUGAGUUUAUCACUUGGGCCACCAUAUCUGUGCCUUCCUCCUUAAUAUUAAUGGAAGCGUUUCAUUGCUGGUGACUCGGCCCCUCCCACAGCUUUAGAUUUCUAUACAUUUGCGCACAGCUGCACAUUUUGCAAACUCUUUUUUCUCAAUUCUUACACUUUUGCAGUUAUUUUAACUAAACUGAACCACAAACUGAAAACAAUCAGUGUUGCUUUUACAAAAACAUUUCAAAGUUCAUAUUAAAAAGAGUUUUUCAAAUACAAAAUGUUUUCUAUAUGAUCAUACUCAAUUAAAUUAGGAUAAUAUUUGAUUUAAAACUACAACAAAAACUAAUCUGUUUUUUUAUCAGCUUUAGAAACAAACAUUUUAAAUUAUUGUACUGAACCACUCACCUUUCUUUCUUUUUUGAUGAGGCUUUUGGGACCUAAACCAGCUCUUUUGCUAAGAUGGACUGGCGAGUCAUCCAGGGUGUACCCUGCCUUCUCCCAUUAGUGGCUGGGAUAGGCUCCAGCAUCCCCGUCCUUUUAGAAAGGAACAAAUUUGCUUUUUUUUUUGUUCUGUUUUAGUAUUUUAAUAUUAAAAUUUCAGCUGCUCUGAGAAAGCCUUGCCGGUCCCCUGGCAGACAUGCCGGUGUCCGUCUGGUUGAUGAGUGAGCCUUGACUCUCACUAAAAUGAAGCAGUUGCCGUUUCGUUUACAUUAGAAUUGCUGUUUUAUUUCUAGAUUGUCAGAUGAGCCUGUUCUUGGUGUCCUUUGAGGCUGCAGAGGUACUGACACAUACAGAGCA